UUCAACCAGAAAGAGAGAACGUAGAGAAGGGACCAAUCUGAAUUGUGAAGACAAGUCAACGGCCGAGUUUAUAUAGUCAUCAUUUUUGGGAAAAAGGUUAGAUUUAUCCCUUUACUUUCCAAAAUUAUCAAUAUUUAUCCCUAAUUUUACUAUCGGUUCAAAUACGUCCCUAACGUUAAAAAAGUAAAUAGACAUACCCCCAACUCUAACGGCUGUCCACUAUGGCAUGGGACCCGCUCAAUAAAAAAUACGAAAAAGGUCCAAAAAUAUUCCUAAACUAUGGUAUAUAGCUCACUUUUGUCCUCCGUUAGUAAACUGGGCCAAAAAUAUCCUUCCCGUUAGCACAAUGUGCUACUAAUGUCCUUCAACCUAACAGCCCUCCACACAAGCCAUUUUAAUCCUACAUGGCAUCCACGUAGCUAUGACAUGACAGCCACAUAAGCGGGCAACCUUCUAAACCCGCUCAGAAACACAUUUCCAAACAAAGAUCUGGCUGUAACCCCACCUCCAUACCCCAUUUCAUAACAAAACCCCAAUUUCUUCCUAGACCCAAUUUUCCUUCAAAAUUUCUACUCCAAUUUCUGCUCAAAUUUCCAUAUUUAUGCUCAAAUCUCCAGAUUUCUGCUCAAUGUCUGAUUUAUCUGUGAACGCGUACGAAAUUCAAUAUGCAAAGAGGUGUCAUUGCGCUAUAUUUGAUAGCUUGGUCAGAUGCCAAUGCUGGGAGAAGGUUCUACAAAUGUCCAAGAUCCAAGGUUACUUCUUGCGGGUAGUUUGAAUGGAUUGACGAAGAGCUCCCUCGUCGAGCGGUAAUAGUGAUCAAAGAUUUAAAAACUAAAUUUGAUGCUGCUAAGGUUGAGAGGAACAAUUUGAGGAAUAAAGUUUACCUCAUGGAACAAGCUACGAUGGUUCAAAGGGGCUCUAAGAACUUGUUUGAUGAAAUGGAAGAUGUUAUGACGGUUGAAAGGCAUACUCUGAAGAUGAAACUUGACGAAAUGGAGCAAUUUCAACUUAUAGAAGCUGAAAAAGCUAGUAAGUUAGAGGUCAAAGUGAAGAAGAUGAGAAAUAUCAUUUUGGUUUCAUGGGCUUUAUUAUUUGCUUUGGUUGUCGUAGGGAUGAUGAAGUGAAUGUAUGUUGUUUUAAUAUGUUGUUGUAGUAUUUUGGUUUAAUUAACGGUUGAUGAAGUUAAUCUAUGUAUGUUUAGUAUGUUGUAGUAUGUUUCCAACUCUUCAAAGUGAUGGUAUCAAUGUUUCUUUUUCAACCAUUUGUGGGACAGAACUAGAAUGCAGG